rnacentral:rRNA from 1 species
GCCAGCAGCCAUGUCACCCUGCCACUCGCAGCUGGCAGCCCACUGGAGCUCAGCAGGUGUGAGCCUGGUCAGUACCUGGAUGGGAGACUCCUGGGAAAAACUAAGGCUGCUGCUGGAA